rnacentral:lncRNA from 1 species
GUAUAAACUGACCACCCAUCUGACCAGCCCUCGUUUUCAGUCAUUUGCAGCUUUGGCUGGAGAUUGUCUGUUCCCAACAGUUAGGCUGUGGGCGUUGUUCCCUGAUCCCAGGCUAGCAGGUCAAGGGCCCCUGGGCACAUUCCCUUCACCCAGGGGACUGUGGAGUAGAGGCCUGCUGGAUGUUGCAAUGCUUAGAAGAAACACAGAUGAAAGGGCAGGCCCGAGGCCUGGGAACCUGAGUCUUUCCAGAGAAAAACAAUUCCAGGAACUGGACUGAAGAGAUCCAAAAUAUGGAACCAAGGUUGCGGAGUGUCCCACCUCAGGAAGGAAUGCUGAACAACUGAUUUAUAGCCUUGUUGUUGCCGGCUAGACCACCAGGUGGCCCAUGACUCAAGAUAAUCAUCACAACCAGAUACAUUGACUUGCAUACCCUAACCCUCACAUGCGUUGCCCAGCCCAGCCUGCAUACCCUACCCUGAUAUCAAUUCCUGUACUUCGCCUAAUAAAAAAAAUCCCAACUGGGGACGGA